rnacentral:rRNA from 1 species
AAUGAACGCUGGCGGCGUGCCUAACACAUGCAAGUCGGAUGUGCCGCAAGGUGCAUGGCAGACGGGUGAGUAACGCGUGGGGAAUCUACCUUUUAGUGGGGAAUAACGCUCCGAAAGGAGUGGUAAUACCGCAUGAGACCGGUGGCUGGGAUGCUGCCGGUGAAACCUGGGGACCGCAAGGCCUGGGGCUAGAAGAGGAUCCUGCGUCUGAUUAGCUAGUUGGCGGGGUAAUGGCCCACCAAGGCGACGAUCAGUAGCCGGCCUGAGAGGAUGAUCGGCCACACUGGAACUGAGACACGGUCCAGACUCCUACGGGAGGCUGCAGUGGGGAAUUUUCCACAAUGGGCGAAAGCCUGAUGGAGCAACGCCGCGUGUGUGAUGAAGGUUUUCGGAUCGUAAAGCACUUUCGACUGGGACGAAAAACCUUUGGCUAACAUCCAGGGGCCUGACGGUACCAGGAGAAGAAGCACCGGCUAACUCUGUGCCAGCCGCCGCCGUAAUAC